rnacentral:rRNA from 1 species
AUACAUGCAAGUCGUACGCUUCUUUUUCCACCGGAGCUUGCUCCACCGGAAAAAGAAGAGUGGCGAACGGGUGAGUAACACGUGGGUAACCUGCCCAUCAGAAGGGGAUAACACUUGGAAACAGGUGCUAAUACCGUAUAACAAUCGAAACCGCAUGGUUUUGAUUUGAAAGGCGCUUUCGGGUGUCGCUGAUGGAUGGACCCGCGGUGCAUUAGCUAGUUGGUGAGGUAACGGCUCACCAAGGCCACGAUGCAUAGCCGACCUGAGAGGGUGAUCGGCCACAUUGGGACUGAGACACGGCCCAAACUCCUACGGGAGGCAGCAGUAGGGAAUCUUCGGCAAUGGACGAAAGUCUGACCGAGCAACGCCGCGUGAGUGAAGAAGGUUUUCGGAUCGUAAAACUCUGUUGUUAGAGAAGAACAAGGAUGAGAGUAACUGUUCAUCCCUUGACGGUAUCUAACCAGAAAGCCACGGCUAACUACGUGCCAGCAGCCGCGGUAAUACGUAGGUGGCAAGCGUUGUCCGGAUUUAUUGGGCGUAAAGCGAGCGCAGGCGGUUUCUUAAGUCUGAUGUGAAAGCCCCCGGCUCAACCGGGGAGGGUCAUUGGAAACUGGGAGACUUGAGUGCAGAAGAGGAGAGUGGAAUUCCAUGUGUAGCGGUGAAAUGCGUAGAUAUAUGGAGGAACACCAGUGGCGAAGGCGGCUCUCUGGUCUGUAACUGACGCUGAGGCUCGAAAGCGUGGGGAGCAAACAGGAUUAGAUACCCUGGUAGUCCACGCCGUAAACGAUGAGUGCUAAGUGUUGGAGGGUUUCCGCCCUUCAGUGCUGCAGCUAACGCAUUAAGCACUCCGCCUGGGGAGUACGACCGCAAGGUUGAAACUCAAAGGAAUUGACGGGGGCCCGCACAAGCGGUGGAGCAUGUGGUUUAAUUCGAAGCAACGCGAAGAACCUUACCAGGGUCUUGGACAUCCCUUUGACCACUCU